rnacentral:rRNA from 1 species
GCUAUACAUGCAGUCGAGCGCAGGAAGCUCACGGAACUCUUCGGAGGGAAGUGAAGGGAAUGAGCGGCGGACGGGUGAGUAACACGUAAGGAACCUGCCCCAAGGAUUGGGAUAACUCCGAGAAAUCGGAGCUAAUACCGAAUAGUUCUUCAGACCGCAUGGUCUGAUGAUGAAAGGCGCUUCGGCGUCACCUUGGGAUGGCCUUGCGGUGCAUUAGCUAGUUGGUGGGGUAACGGCCCACCAAGGCGACGAUGCAUAGCCGACCUGAGAGGGUGAUCGGCCACACUGGGACUGAGACACGGCCCAGACUCCUACGGGAGGCAGCAGUAGGGAAUCUUCCACAAUGGACGAAAGUCUGAUGGAGCAACGCCGCGUGAGUGAUGAAGGUUUUCGGAUCGUAAAACUCUGUUGUAAGGGAAGAACAAGUACGAGAGGUAAUGCUCGUACCUUGACGGUACCUUGCGAGAAAGCCACGGCUAACUACGUGCCAGCAGCCGCGGUAAUACGUAGGUGGCAAGCGUUGUCCGGAAUUAUUGGGCGUAAAGCGCGCGCAGGCGGCCUUUUAAGUCUGAUGUGAAAGCCCCCGGCUCAACCGGGGAGGGUCAUUGGAAACUGGAAGGCUUGAGUACAGAAGAGAAGAGUGGAAUUCCAUGUGUAGCGGUGAAAUGCGUAGAGAUGUGGAGGAACACCAGUGGCGAAGGCGACUCUUUGGUCUGUAACUGACGCUGAGGCGCGAAAGCGUGGGGAGCAAACAGGAUUAGAUACCCUGGUAGUCCACGCCGUAAACGAUGAGUGCUA